UAACUGUUCAUAUUUUAUAAAGUAAUACCAUAUUAUAACAACAAAGUAAAAAAAUAAAAUUUAAAAAAAAAGUUAGAGCUAAAGAAACGAUGAUUUUGACGAUCGGGAAUUUCCGUAACGCGUUCGGCAAUUUCCGCCGCUAUUUUACCCCGAUGACGUAUGUGUGCACCACUGCGCAUGACGAAUAUUCCCAUGUUAUGUACAGUAUGCACUGAAGCAUGCAAAUUUCCCUCAAAACUUCAAGGAUUACAAGACUGUGUUGAUCAUUCACUUGCAUAUACUUAAUUUAUAAUCUCUUUUGUGUUGAUUACGAGUCGAACUUUUACAUGACAUUGAGGAUUUACUGAUUUACAAGAUGGUUCAAUGUGCAGCGUUUGGCUGCAAUGCUCGUUCUGAAAAGCAAACGGAGAAGUAAGGAUUCUUCGGCUUCUCAAAGGACGAAAGUAUUAAGCGGAAAUGGAUUCUAUCCGUGAAUUCACGAAGGAUUAUCGACGGAAAGGUGGUGGACUUUACGCCAAGCAAAUAUGCAAAACUCUGCAUAAAACAUUUUGAAGAUAAGUGCUUUGUCCACCCCCCCCCCCCCCCCCCCCCCCCCCCCCGAGUGUGAUGGCGAGUGCGGGCUUUGGGAUGAGACUGUCGCUGCAUCCUGAUGCAGUGCCAACUUUGUUCCCUGACACGGACAACUUCAAGGCAUUACAGCCGAAAGCCCUAAGGCCAGACGAGUUAGGAGCCCCCAAACGGAAACGUGACAACUAUGGUGCUUUUGCCAAGAGAAAUCGCAAAACGGCUCGAAGGCGCACAAGGAAUUACUGUUGGUCAUCGGAAGCAAGUGUCUUCUCUCUGACAUUCGCAUGCUGUCACCAGCUGAACAGACCUCGAUGCUGGAGGCUCAACACAAGGUGGUCUGCCAAUUUGCGCCAAAAUUUGUCUGCUUUUCAUACGCAGCAAUGAAACAGAGAUUGCAUCUGGCAGCCCUGCAUUCCGUUUCUAAUGCGCACAGGAAACAUGCAGAGACGAAGAACUGCGAAAAGCGCUACAGGAUUUCGUAUCCAAAGUACUAGGCGGGACACCAUGUCGUGAAACCUGUCAAAGAGGCCUGCAAUUAUGAUUAUGUCACAGAGCUCAUGGUUGAAUUGCUGCAAUUAAAACAACAGUUCAAUAGCACCCGGAUUGCUAAGCCGGCAUCUUCUUCCAUUCUGUUCUCUCCACCACCAUUAGCAUCAUCUGCGAAGAAAAUUUUAAAGAAUGAAGCAGUGCAGUUGCACCGCUCUAGGUUUAAUUAAUUACAGUAAUUGGAAACAACUUGGCAUGCCAUUUGUCAUGUAUUGCUCCAGCUGGGUUUAGUGUACGUGCGUAAGGUGUCAUCCCAGAUUAGCCUGUGCCAUAUAUAUGUUUGUAAUUAAUUAAAAAAAUCCUCGCGCUGGAAAGAUGGGACAAAGCGUGCGCAAAAUAUCUCGUCCCAUAUUAGCCUGUGUCCCUGAUAAGACUGUGCAGACUCGACGUGAAAACAUGAUAUGCCCCAAGUUUUAUAUGACAAUGUCUACGAAUGUGCCCUAAUGACAAAUUAGAACCUAGCUGAAGCACUGAUCACGUAUUGUUUCAAAUUAACAUAGCAACUACAAUGAUUUUUUUGAAAAAUGUGAAUGUAUUAUUUUGACAAAUAUGCUGUAAUAAUAGUUUAUCCAUUGUGUGCUAUACUGUUAUUAUAAAAAUGUUAAUGUCAACACCUUUAUUUUUAAAUGUUGGGACCAUGUAGUGUUUUUUGUGUGAUAGUAUUGGUCUGUAAAAGAUGUUUUAAAAGUCAUUUUGUUAAAGGUACUUAAUUUGACUCCAUGACAAGAUGUAUUGCAACAUUGUGCUAGUAAAGCUCAUUUACUUAUUCCGUCCAGUUUUCUAAAACUUGUCGUCAGGUUACAAGUUGUUCUGUUGUUGUGUCUGUGGUAAUUUAUAUUUUUAGAUGUUGCAAUAAACUUGUA